rnacentral:rRNA from 1 species
CCUACGGGCGGCAGCAGUAGGGAAUCUUUCACAAUGGGCGAAAGCCUGAUGGAGCAACGCCGCGUGCAGGAUGAAGGCCUUCGGGUUGUACACUGCUUUUAUAAGCGAGAAAUAUGAUGGUAACUUAUGAAUAAGGAUCGUCUAACUACGUGCCAGCAGCCGCGGUCAAACGUAGGAUCCGAGCAUUAUCCGGAGUGACUGGGUGUAAAGAGGUGCGUAGGUGGCAUAAUAAGUAGCUAGUGAAAUCUGGUGGCUCAACCAUUCAGACUAUUAGCUAAACUGUUAAGCUCGAGACCGUUAGGGGUAACUGGAAUUUCUAGUGUAGGAGUGAAAUCCGUAGAUAUUAGAAGGAACACCAAUAGCGUAGGCAGGUUACUGGGACGGUUCUGACACUAAGGCACGAAAGCGUAGGGAGCAAACGGGAUUAGAUACCCCUGUAGUC